AUUGAACGCUGGCGGCAGGCCUAACACAUGCAAGUCGAACGAGCGGCGUACGGGUGAGUAACGUCUGGGAAACCGUCCGAUGCAGCGGGCUAACCAUAGGAAACGCUAGCCAAUACCGCAUUUUAGCUGAUGUGUCCAGAUGGGAUUAGCUUGCAGGUGAGGUAACGGCUCACCUAUGCAACGAUCUCUAGCCGGUCUGAGCGGGUGACCAGCCACACUGGAACUGAGACACGGUCCAGACUCCUACGGGAGGAAGCAGUGGGGAAUAUGGCACAAUGGGCGCAAGCCUGAUGCAGCCAUGCCGCGUGUAUGAAGAAGGCCUUCGGGUUGUAAAGUACUUUCAGCGGGGAAGCGUUACCCGCAGAAGAAGCACCGGCUAACUCCGUGCCAGCAGCCGCGGUAAUAC
rnacentral:rRNA from 1 species